rnacentral:siRNA from 1 species
GUCGUUGUAGUAUAGUGGUA